rnacentral:rRNA from 1 species
UUGAAAGGGAAACGAUUGAAGUCAGUUGUACUAACGGGAAUCAAUCUUUUGAGGGUGGAUUUGUGGGAUUCAAAGUGCCUUUAUUUCUACAAUCUGCUUUAUGGGGUGCAUUUUCUCGUAAUGUAGGUCUGUGUCGGUUUUGAUCAUUAUAAAAUGACUGGAGGAAUGUAUUAUAGCAUUUGGUGGAUGUGACGGUUGGGAUUAAGGAUUGCAACGAAUACCCAUAUGGGCUAUCCGCCUUUAUAGUGUGCGAUCAAAAGGUUAGAAUGGAUUAAAUUCGUUAAGGAUGUUGACGUAAGUC